AUUACAUAUUCAAGUUGCAUUUUUAUUUGUACUAGAAAAUUAAAAUAGUAUUAUUGAUUACUUGAAUAGAACAUGCUUUUAUUUAUUUAUUCAUUAAAGGCAAGCCCUAUCAGAUAAACAUUUAUCCUAAAAAAUGAAGAUAACAUAAGUUUAUCAUUAAUUUUAACAAUUUGUUUUGCAAUGUUUUGAAAUCACAAACCUCUGUGUUGACUAUCUAAAUCACAAAAAUAAAAUGUAUCAUUAAAAGUAUUUUUAUCUCUGAUUUAUUUAUUGAAUAUAUGACUGGUUUUAAGGUUCUUUGAAUACUGUGGAUUCUUUAUUAUUUGUUGGAUACCAAUUUUUGUGGGUUUCGUGGAUACAGGUGAACCACGAAUAUAACUGUUCAACGAAUUACCUUUUUAUAUUAGGCUUUGUUUUAAGAGGUUGGCUAAUCAAAUAUCCACGAAAAUGCCAGUUUGCCUCAAUCCACGAAAAUUGAUACCCACGAAAAUAAAUGAAUCCACAGUAGAAGAAUGAUUGCUUUUUGUUUUUGUUGUUUGUCUAAAUCUUUAUAAAUAAAGCAAUCUAUU
rnacentral:lncRNA from 1 species